GACGAACGCUGGCGGCGUGCUUAACACAUGCAAGUCGAACGGAAAGGCCCUGCUUUUGUGGGGUGCUCGAGUGGCGAACGGGUGAGUAACACGUGAGUAACCUGCCCUUGACUUUGGGAUAACUUCAGGAAACUGGGGCUAAUACCGGAUAGGAGCUCCUGCUGCAUGGUGGGGGUUGGAAAGUUUCGGCGGUUGGGGAUGGACUCGCGGCUUAUCAGCUUGUUGGUGGGGUAGUGGCUUACCAAGGCUUUGACGGGUAGCCGGCCUGAGAGGGUGACCGGCCACAUUGGGACUGAGAUACGGCCCAGACUCCUACGGGAGGCAGCAGUGGGGAAUAUUGCACAAUGGGCGGAAGCCUGAUGCAGCAACGCCGCGUGCGUGAAGACGGCCUUCGGGUUGUAAACCGCUGUCGCCUGUGACGAAGCGUGAGUGACGGUAAUGGGUAAAGAAGCACCGGCUAACUACGUG
rnacentral:rRNA from 1 species